CCUACGGGUGGCAGCAGUGAGGAAUAUUGGUCAAUGGACGAGAGUCUGAACCAGCCAAGUAGCGUGAAGGAUGACUGCCCUAUGGGUUGUAAACUUCUUUUAUAAAGGAAUAAAACGAGGCACGUGUGCCUUUUUGCAUGUACUUUAUGAAUAAGGAUCGGCUAAAUCAGUGCCAGCAGCCGGGGUAAUACGGAGGAUCCGAGCAUUCUCCGGAUUUAUUGGGUUUAAAGGGAGCGGAGAUGGGUUUUUAAGUCAGUUGGGAAAGUUUGCGGGUCAAACGUAAAAUUGCAAGUGAUACUGGCAGUCUUGAGUACAGUAGAGGUAGGCGGAAUUCGUGGUGUAGCGGUGAAAUGCAUAGAUAUCACGAAGAACCCCGAUUGCGAAGGCAGCUUACUAAACUGUGACUGACAUUGAUGCUCGAAAGUGUGGGUAUCAAACAGGAUUAGAUACCCCUGUAGUC
rnacentral:rRNA from 1 species